rnacentral:rRNA from 1 species
AGUGAACGCUGGCGGUAGGCCUAACACAUGCAAGUCGAACGGCAGCACAGUAAGAGCUUGCUCUUACGGGUGGCGAGUGGCGGACGGGUGAGGAAUACAUCGGAAUCUACUUUUUCGUGGGGGAUAACGUAGGGAAACUUACGCUAAUACCGCAUACGACCUACGGGUGAAAGCAGGGGAUCUUCGGACCUUGCGCGAUUGAAUGAGCCGAUGUCGGAUUAGCUAGUUGGCGGGGUAAAGGCCCACCAAGGCGACGAUCCGUAGCUGGUCUGAGAGGAUGAUCAGCCACACUGGAACUGAGACACGGUCCAGACUCCUACGGGAGGCAGCAGUGGGGAAUAUUGGACAAUGGGCGCAAGCCUGAUCCAGCCAUACCGCGUGGGUGAAGAAGGCCUUCGGGUCGUAAAGCCCUUUUGUUGGGAAAGAAAAGCAGCAAGUUAAUACCCCGCUGUUCUGACGGUACCCAAAGAAUAAGCACCGGCUAACUUCGUG